rnacentral:rRNA from 1 species
AUUGAACGCUGGCGGAAUGCUUUACACAUGCAAGUCGAACGGCAGCACGGGGGCAGCCCUGGUGGCGAGUGGCGAACGGGUGAGUAAUACAUCGGAACGUGCCCGGUCGUGGGGGAUAACGUAGCGAAAGUUACGCUAAUACCGCAUACGAUCUGAGGAUGAAAGCGGGGGACCUUCGGGCCUCGCGCGAUCGGAGCGGCCGAUGUCAGAUUAGGUAGUUGGUGGGGUAAAGGCCUACCAAGCCGACGAUCUGUAGCUGAUCUGAGAGGACGACCAGCCACACUGGGACUGAGACACGGCCCAGACUCCUACGGGAGGCAGCAGUGGGGAAUUUUGGACAAUGGGCGCAAGCCUGAUCCAGCCAUUCCGCGUGCAGGACGAAGGCCUUCGGGUUGUAAACUGCUUUUGUACGGAACGAAAAGGCUCUGGCUAAUACCUGGGGCUCAUGACGGUACCGUAAGAAUAAGCACCGGCUAACUACGUG